rnacentral:rRNA from 1 species
UACACACGUGCUACAAUGGGUAGUACAGAGGGUUGCCAAGCCGUAAGGUGGAGCUAAUCCCUUAAAGCUACUCUCAGUUCGGAUUGUAGGCUGAAACUCGCCUACAUGAAGCUGGAGUUACUAGUAAUCGCAGAUCAGAAUGCUGCGGUGAAUGCGUUCCCGGGUCUUGUACACACCGCCCGUCACACCACGGGAGUUGGAGACGCCCGAAGCCGAUUAUCUAACCUUUUGGAAGAAGUCGUCGAAGGUGGAAUCAAUAACUGGGGUGAAGUCGUAACAAGGUAGCCGUAUCGGAAGGUGCGGCUGGAUCACCUCCUUUCUAAGGAGA